GGAGAGAUGGCUGAGUGGUUGAAGGCGCACGCUUGGAAAGCGUGUGAGGGUUAACGCCCUCCGCAGGUUCGAAUCCUGUUCUCUCCGCCA
rnacentral:tRNA from 3 species